rnacentral:rRNA from 1 species
ACCGGAGAGGGAGCCUGAGAAACGGCUACCACAUCCAAGGAUGGCAGCAGGCGCGCAAAUUACCCAAUCCCGACACGGGGAGGUAGUGACAAUAAAUAACAAUACGGGGUUCUUUAGGAUCUCGUAAUUGGAAUGAGUACAAUUUAAAUCUCUUAACGAGGAACAAUUGGAGGGCAAGUCUGGUGCCAGCAGCCGCGGUAAUUCCAGCUCCAAUAGCGUAUAUUAAAGUUGUUGCAGUUAAAAAGCUCGUAGUUGAAUUUCGGGGUUAGUAGGUUGGUCAUGCCUCUGGUAUGUACUGGUCUCACUGAUUCCUCCUUCCUUAUGAACCGUAAUGCCAUUAAUUUGGUGUUGCGGGGAAUUUGGACUGUUACUUUGAAAAAAUUAGAGUGUUUAAAGCAAGCUAACGCUUGAAUACAUUAGCAUGGAAUAAUGAAAUAGGACGUUCGAUCUUAUUUUGUUGGUUUCUAGGAUUGACGUAAUGAUUAAUAGGGAUAGUUGGGGGCAUUAGUAUUCAAUUGUCAGAGGUGAAAUUCUUGGAUUUAUUGAAGACUAACUACUGCGAAAGCAUUUGCCAAGGAUGUUUUCAUUAAUCAAGAACGAAAGUUAGGGGAUCGAAGACGAUCAGAUACCGUCGUAGUCUUAACCAUAAACUAUGCCGACUAGGGAUCGGAUGAUGUUAAUUUUUUAAUGACUCAUUCGGCGCCUUACGGG